AGUGAACGCUGGCGGUAGGCCUAACACAUGCAAGUCGAACGGCAGCACAGUAAGAGCUUGCUCUUACGGGUGGCGAGUGGCGGACGGGUGAGGAAUACAUCGGAAUCUACUUUUUCGUGGGGGAUAACGUAGGGAAACUUACGCUAAUACCGCAUACGACCUACGGGUGAAAGCAGGGGAUCUUCGGACCUUGCGCGAUUGAAUGAGCCGAUGUCGGAUUAGCUAGUUGGCGGGGUAAAGGCCCACCAAGGCGGCGAUCCGUAGCUGGUCUGAGGGGAUGGUCGGCCACACGGGAACGGGGACACGGUCCAGACUCCUACGGGAGGCAGCAGUGGGGAAUAUGGGACAAUGGGCGCAAGCCUGAUCCAGCCAUACCGCGUGGGUGAAGAAGGCCUUCGGGUUGUAAAGCCCUUUUUUGGGGAAAGAAAAGCAGCAGGUUAAUACCCCGCGGUUCUGACGGUACCCAAAGAAGAAGCACCGGCUAACUUCGUG
rnacentral:rRNA from 1 species